rnacentral:rRNA from 1 species
GCUUGCUCUCGGGUGACGAGCGGCGGACGGGUGAGUAAUGUCUGGGAAACUGCCUGAUGGAGGGGGAUAACUACUGGAAACGGUAGCUAAUACCGCAUAAUGUCGCAAGACCAAAGUGGGGGACCUUCGGGCCUCAUGCCAUCAGAUGUGCCCAGAUGGGAUUAGCUAGUAGGUGGGGUAACGGCUCACCUAGGCGACGAUCCCUAGCUGGUCUGAGAGGAUGACCAGCCACACUGGAACUGAGACACGGUCCAGACUCCUACGGGAGGCAGCAGUGGGGAAUAUUGCACAAUGGGCGCAAGCCUGAUGCAGCCAUGCCGCGUGUGUGAAGAAGGCCUUCGGGUUGUAAAGCACUUUCAGCGGGGAGGAAGGCGUUAAGGUUAAUAACCUUGUCGAUUGACGUUACCCGCAGAAGAAGCACCGGCUAACUCCGUGCCAGCAGCCGCGGUAAUACGGAGGGUGCAAGCGUUAAUCGGAAUUACUGGGCGUAAAGCGCACGCAGGCGGUCUGUCAAGUCGGAUGUGAAAUCCCCGGGCUCAACCUGGGAACUGCAUUCGAAACUGGCAGGCUAGAGUCUUGUAGAGGGGGGUAGAAUUCCAGGUGUAGCGGUGAAAUGCGUAGAGAUCUGGAGGAAUACCGGUGGCGAAGGCGGCCCCCUGGACAAAGACUGACGCUCAGGUGCGAAAGCGUGGGGAGCAAACAGGAUUAGAUACCCUGGUAGUCCACGCCGUAAACGAUGUCGAUUUGGAGGUUGUGCCCUUGAGGCGUGGCUUCCGGAGCUAACGCGUUAAAUCGACCGCCUGGGGAGUACGGCCGCAAGGUUAAAACUCAAAUGAAUUGACGGGGGCCCGCACAAGCGGUGGAGCAUGUGGUUUAAUUCGAUGCAACGCGAAGAACCUUACCUGGUCUUGACAUCCACAGAACUUUCCAGAGAUGGAUUGGUGCCUUCGGGAACUGUGAGACAGGUGCUGCAUGGCUGUCGUCAGCUCGUGUUGUGAAAUGUUGGGUUAAGUCCCGCAACGAGCGCAACCCUUAUCCUUUGUUGCCAGCGGUCCGGCCGGGAACUCAAAGGAGACUGCCAGUGAUAAACUGGAGGAAGGUGGGGAUGACGUCAAGUCAUCAUGGCCCUUACGACCAGGGCUACACACGUGCUACAAUGGCAUAUACAAAGAGAAGCGACCUCGCGAGAGCAAGCGGACCUCAUAAAGUAUGUCGUAGUCCGGAUUGGAGUCUGCAACUCGACUCCAUGAAGUCGGAAUCGCUAGUAAUCGUAGAUCAGAAUGCUA